GGUCGCAAGAAGCGUGUGGAAAAACCAAGGCGCAAAAUAACUGCCCAUGAACUGAGAAAAGUCAAGCGUGCAGCUGCCACGAUGCCACUUGCCACCAGUUUGGCCAUAUUUCAGAGCUGCAACAUCACUGGAGUGCCCAAAAGCUCAAGGUGUGCAAUACUCAGAGACAUGGCCAAGGUAAGAAAGGCUGAAAGACGACCACCACUGAACAAG